rnacentral:rRNA from 1 species
UACGAAGGGGGCUAGCGUUGCUCGGAAUCACUGGGCGUAAAGCGCACGUAGGCGGCUUUUUAAGUCGGGGGUGAAAUCCUGGAGCUCAACUCCAGAACUGCCUUUGAUACUGAGAAGCUUGAGUCCGGGAGAGGUGAGUGGAACUGCGAGUGUAGAGGUGAAAUUCGUAGAUAUUCGGAAGAACACCAGUGGCGAAGGCGACUCACUGGCCCGAUACUGACGCUGAGGCGCGAAAGCGUGGGGAGCAAACAGG